rnacentral:ncRNA from 2 species
CGGACGUCGCAUGACUGGCGGAUUGUGGGAAUGACCACAGGGGAGUGCGAUGUAUACAGUUGCCGGCCGCCUGGGCACUUUUG